rnacentral:rRNA from 1 species
UACGUAGGGGGCAAGCGUUGUCCGGAAUCAUUGGGCGUAAAGCGCGUGUAGGCGGUCCGGUAAGUCCGCUGUGAAAGUCGGGGGCUCAACCCUCGGAUGCCGGUGGAUACUGUCGGGCUUGAGUACGGAAGAGGCGAGUGGAAUUCCUGGUGUAGCGGUGAAAUGUGCAGAUAUCAGGAGGAACACCAACAGCGAAGGCAGAUCUCUGGGACGUUACUGACGCUGAGACGCGAAAGCGUGGGGAGCAAACAGG